rnacentral:tRNA from 1 species
GCCGAAAUAGCACAGCGGUAGUGCGUUGGUCUUGUAAACCAAAGGUCCGGAGUUCGAAUCUCCGUUUCGGCU